UACGUAGGCAGCGAGCGUUGUUCGGAGUUACUGGGCGUAAAGAGUGCGUAGGCGGUUUUCUAAGUUUGGUGUGAAAUCUCCCGGCUCAACUGGGAGGGUGCGCCGAAGACUGGAAGGCUAGAGUAUGGGAGAGGUAAGCGGAAUUCCUGGUGUAGCGGUGAAAUGCGUAGAUAUCAGGAAGAACACCAAUGGCGAAGGCAGCUCUCUGGGACGGUACUGACGCUGAGACGCGAAAGCGUGGGGAGCGAACAGG
rnacentral:rRNA from 1 species